rnacentral:rRNA from 1 species
UACGUAGGGUGCGAGCGUUGUCCGGAAUUACUGGGCGUAAAGAGCUCGUAGGUGGUUUGUCGCGUUGUUCGUGAAAUCUCACGGCUUAACUGUGAGCGUGCGGGCGAUACGGGCAGACUGGAGUACUGCAGGGGAGACUGGAAUUCCUGGUGUAGCGGUGAAAUGCGCAGAUAUCAGGAGGAACACCGAUGGCGAAGGCAGGUCUCUGGGCAUUAACUGACGCUGAGGAGCGAAAGCAUGGGGAGCGAACAGG